AUUGAACGCUGGCGGCAUGCUUUACACAUGCAAGUCGGACGGCAGCACAGAGAAGCUUGCUUCUUGGGUGGCGAGUGGCGAACGGGUGAGUAACAUAUCGGAACGUACCGAGCAGUGGGGGAUAACUAAUCGAAAGAUUAGCUAAUACCGCAUAUUUUCUGAGGAAGAAAGCAGGGGACCUUUGGGCCUUGCGCUGUUUGAGCGGCCGAUAUCUGAUUAGCUAGUGGGUGGGGUAAAGGCCUACCAAGGCGACGAUCAGUAGCGGGUCUGAGAGGAUGAUCCGCCACACUGGGACUGAGACACGGCCCAGACUCCUACGGGAGGCAGCAGUGGGGAAUUUUGGACAAUGGGCGCAAGCCUGAUCCAGCCAUGCCGCGUGUCUGAAGAAGGCCUUCGGGUUGUAAAGGACUUUUGUCAGGGAAGAAAAGGGCGGGGUUAAUACCCCUGUCUGAUGACGGUACCUGAAGAAUAAGCACCGGCUAACUACGUG
rnacentral:rRNA from 1 species